rnacentral:misc_RNA from 1 species
AGAAGUACCUAAUAACCAUCAUGAAGAAUACAGCCAAUUAAUAUCCAUAGAUAAAGCAUUUAUAAUGUUUAGUAGAUAAAGCAAAAUUAAUAAAAAUUUGUAGUGGGUCACUUCCAUGCAUUUGACUUGAGUUUUGUUAUUUACACCUAUGAGCCAAGGAGAGCGAUAUGCCUCCAGAGACAAGUUUUCAAACUGAACAUACAAUUGAAGAUGGCCUGCAGAACAAGAAAAUUGAAAAUGCUUGUGUGCUGGAAAAUUCAAUGAUCAAGAAAG